UCUCAAUUUCUCAUCUUAACAAUAUCAAAUCAACGAUCACUCACCACAUUCACCAAUCAAUCAAUCAAAAAAGAUGGAGUCUUCAGGUUCCGAUUAUGAUGUCAUUAUUGUCGGCGCCGGCGUCAUGGGAAGCUCCACCGCCUACUACGCUGCCAAACGAGGCCUCAAAACCCUGGUUCUCGAACAAUUCGAUUUUCUUCACCACCGUGGUUCCUCCCACGGUGAAUCCCGCACAAUUCGCGCAGCUUAUCCUCAACAACAUUACUGCCAAAUGGUCAUGAAAUCCUACCAAUUAUGGGAAGAAGCUCAAGCUCAAGCAGGCUUCAAUGUCUAUUACAAAGCUCAUCACUUUGACAUGGGUUCUUCAAACGAUCCAAUGAUUCUCUCUGUCGUCGAAAACUGCCGCCAAAACAAUCUCCCCUGUCAACUCCUCCGCCGUGAACAAGUUGCCGAGAAAUUCUCCGGCAGGAUCGACAUUCCAGAUGAUUGGGUUGGUCUCUCAACAGAAUACGGUGGUGUUAUCAAAGCCACAAAAGCUGUAACGAUGUUUCAGUCACUGGCGCGUAGCCACGGUGCUGUGUUAAACGACAAUGUUGAAGUUGUAGACAUAAAAAACGAUGGUGGUAGCGUUGUUAUUUUAACUGCGAAAGGUGAAAAAUUCCGUGGCAAAAAAUGUGUUGUGACAGUAGGAGCUUGGGUGAACAAGCUAGUAAAGAAGAUAAGUGGGGUUGAAAUUCCGAUUCAACCAUUGGAAACUCACCUAUGUUACUGGAGGAUCAAGGAAGGGCACCAAGGGAAGUUUACAAUUGGUGGUGAUUUUCCAACGUUUGCUAGCUUGGGUAGGGUUUUAUUGUAUGGAUCGCCAAGUUUUGAGUUUCCAGGUUUGAUUAAGGUGGCAGUUCACGGUGGUAACCUGUGUGACCCGGAUAAGAGACCGUGGGGGGCAGGUGUGAUGAUGGAUGAGAUGAAGGAGUGGGUUGAAGGGAGAUUCUGUGGGUUGGUUGAUUCAUCCGAGCCUGUUGUGAAACAGGCUUGUAUGUAUUCAAUGACUCCGGAUGAGGAUUUUGUCAUUGAUUUCUUGGGUGGUGAGUUUGAGAAAAAUGUGGUUUUGGGUGCCGGGUUUUCGGGUCAUGGGUUUAAGAUGGCUCCUGUUAUUGGGAAGAUUUUGACCGAGCUUGUGGUGGACGGGGGAACUAAUGAGGUUGAUUUGAAACACUUUAGGAUUGGAAGAUUCAAAAGUGACUUCUAAGCUUUAGUUGGUACGCGCCUGUAAAAGUGGAUAGCACCGGGACUGUGUAUUGACAACAUGCAGGUCAACAUUCCAAGUAAUUUGCAGAACUGUAUGGUGGCGGAUUUAGUGGAUAGGAAUGGAAUGAAGGUUUGCUUGUUGAUUGGCUUCCAAUUAAUGUCCUGCAUAAUUUUUUUGCUGUCAUGCCUCCUGCGUCGGAGAAUGGAAUUUGGAAGGUCAAAGUUUUGGUUCAUAAAAAUUACAGUGCAAAGGAAAUUGAAGGAAAUGUAAGAGGAACAAAGGAAAGCAUUCUGAAUUCUUAGUGAAAAGGGAAUAACAACAGAAAGUGUAGGUACGGUAAUCAUAGUUACCGUCGUCUCUGUAAUUGAACCAAAAUAAACUAGGACUAGCUAGAAUAACUCCAACAAAACUCAGUUGCAUGGGCAUGGGUUAAAGCUUAGUGUAAAUUAUAAUUCUAAUUUUUAUGACAAAUGUUAGCAUAGUUGGUAUUCCAUUAUCAUGGCAAAUGCUAAUAUUAUUUUGAAAAUAA